rnacentral:rRNA from 1 species
AAAAGAAACUAACCAGGAUUCCCUUAGUAACGGCGAGCGAAACGGGAAGAGCCCAUCGUGAAAAUCUCCUCUCCUGAGGCGAAUUGUAGUGUACAGAGCCGGUCCCUACUGCCACCCCGGCCCAAGUGCUGUGGAAGCGGCCGUCGUAGAGGGUGAGAGCCCCGUCGGCCGGGUGUUUGGCGGUUCCACGGGAGCGGACUCGCAGAGUCGGGUUGUUUGGGAAUGCAGCCCUAAGCUGGUGGUAAGUCCCAUCUAAGGCUAAAUACUGGCGAGAGACCGAUAGCGAACAAGUACCGUGAGGGAAAGAUGAAAAGAACUUUGAAAAGAGAGSUCAAAAAGUGCUUGAAAUUGUUGAGGGGGAAGCCAUUGGCUGGUCAAGAUGCGCCCGGGCUCGAAGCGUGCCCAACGGCACGUGACACGCGCCGGGCGCCAGUCAGCAUGGGUUCGGCGUGCGGGAGAAACCCGCCUCUGUCGGCGGUCUAUGCCGCGCGCCGGUCCGAGGUCUAAGAUCCUUCUCUGGAUGCUGGCUUAAGGCCGUCAAUGGGCCCGUCUUGAAACACGGACCAAGGAGUCUAACAUGUACGCGAGUUGGCGGGUGGAAAACCCGUAAGCGCAAGGAAACUGACUGGUGGGAGGGCCUGUGCCCGCACCAUCGACCGACCAUGAUCUUCUGUGAAAGGUUCGAGUACGAGCGUACCUGUUGGGACCCGAAAGAUGGUGAACUAUGCCUGAGCAGGGCGAAGCCAGAGGAAACUCUGGUGGAGGCUCGUAGAUGUGCUGACGUGCAAAUCGCUUUUCGGACUUGGGUAUAGGGGCGAAAGACUAAUCGAACCAUCUAGUAGCUGGUUCCCUCCGAAGUUUCCCCCAGGAUAGCUGGAGCUCAUCAGUUUUAUCAGGUAAAGCGAAUGAUUAGAGGUACCGGGGAAGCAAUUUUCUCGACCUAUUCUCAAACUUUAAAUAGGUAAGAAGUCACGGUUGCUUAACGGAACCGCGGCAAUGAAUGGGAGCUCCAAGUGGGCCAUUUUUGGUAAGCAGAACUGGCGAUGCGGGAUAAACCGAAAGCUGACUUAAGGCGCCCAACUACGCACUAACCUAGAUCCCACAAAGGGUGUUGAUUCAUAUAAACAGCAGGACGGUGGUCAUGGAAGUCGAA